rnacentral:lncRNA from 1 species
CUUUUUGUUGUAAAUUUCUGAUGUUAAUCGGUUUUCUUUUUCAUUUUUCGGAUUAAUAAACUUCCGACCUAGUUCGGACAAUAAUUUCCGGCUAAGACCGGAUCUGCCUUCUGUUUUCUCUCUCCCGGCGGUGCUUCUUCUCAUCAGAAUUUGUUGUUUUUCUUUUAAAAUUUUGUUUCAAAUUUUCUCUCUAUCUCGGAGUAAUUUCUUCGCUGUUCAUCCUCAUGCUCGUCACUCAGAGCAACGACGGACACCGGAUCGGACGAAUACAUUGGGUCUGACCAGCGGCGGAGCUUUCCUGAAGAAAAAAAAUUUUGAAGCAGUUUUAGAAGAGAUCUUCAUCUCUUUUGCAGCUUUCUAUAUCUGAUGAUUUUAUCUGGGACAAGCAGUUUAACAGAAGGUAAACUCCAAGAUGCAUAAUCUCUCGCUGUGGACGUCGACGUUGCCGGAGGUGAAGCUUGGUCGUGAGACAGCGUUGUAGCGGCCGGCGGCGAAGAGUGACGAUGGAAGCAGCUAUGAAUUGCAGACGAGCUUAAUGAACAACACGUGUUCUUUUAUAUGCUUAAUCUGAUUACACGUAUAUGAGUAUGUGUAUUUGUUAAGUGUAUGUUUUAUAGGCUCGUUUUCUUGCUAGACCUCAAACAUGUAUCUUGUGGUUGUGGCCCUAUGGGCUUUAAUGAAAAUGUCAACAACAAAAAAAAAAUAGAAGUUAUCUACAAAAAGGUACAACUAAAAAAACCAAA